rnacentral:rRNA from 1 species
CGUAGGGGGCAAGCGUUGUCCGGAUUUAUUGGGCGUAAAGAGCGUGUAGGCGGCUUGGCAAGUCCGCUGUGAAAACUCGAGGCUCAACCUCGAGACGUCGGUGGAAACUGCCUCGCUAGAGUCCGGAAGAGGAGAGUGGAAUUCCUGGUGUAGCGGUGAAAUGCGCAGAUAUCAGGAAGAACACCCGUGGCUAAGGCGGCUCUCUAGUACGGUACUGACGCUGAGACGCGAAAGCGUGGGGAGCGAACAGGAUUAGAUACCCUGGUAGUCCACGCCGUAAACGAUGGGUGCUAGGUGUGGGCGGUGUCGACUCCGUCCGUGCCGAAGCUAACGCAUUAAGCACCCCGCCUGGGGAGUACGGCCGCAAGGCUA